GUUGUCAUGGCCGAGUGGUUAAGGCAUUGGACUAGAAAUCCAUUGCUGUUUCCCUGUGCAGGUUCAAAUCUUGCUGAUAACG
rnacentral:tRNA from 1 species